rnacentral:rRNA from 1 species
AUUGAACGCUGGCGGCAGGCCUAACACAUGCACGUAGGGCGAACGGCGGAUGGGUGAGUAAUUUAUGGGGAUCUGCCUGACGGAGGGGGAUAACUACUGGAAAAGGUAGCUAAUACCGCCUACCAACAGAUUAACCUAUAUGGGAUUGGCUUGUAGGUGAGGUAACGGCUCACCUAGGCCACACUCCCUAGCUGGUCUGGUAGGCUGAUCAGCCACACUGGGACUGAGACACGGCCCAGACUCCUACGGGAGGCAGCAGGGGGGAAUAUUGCACAAUGGGCGCAAGCCUGAUGCAGCCAUGCCGCGUGUAUGAAGAAGGCCUUCGGGUUGUAAAGUACUUUCAGUCGGGAGGCGUUACCGACAGAAGAAGCACCGGCUAACUCCGUGCCAGCAGCCGCGGUAAUAC